rnacentral:rRNA from 1 species
GAUCCUGGCUCAGGAUGAACGCUGACAGAAUGCUUAACACAUGCAAGUCUACUUGAACUUCGGUUUGGGUGGCGGACGGGUGAGUAACGCGUAAAGAACUUGCCUCACAGUUAGGGACAACAUUUGGAAACGAAUGCUAAUACCUGAUAUUAUGAUUUUAGGGCAUCCUAAGAUUAUGAAAGCUAUAUGCGCUGUGAGAGAGCUUUGCGUCCCAUUAGCUAGUUGGAGAGGUAACCGG